UCUCUGUUGGUGAACCAGCGGAGGGAUCAUUAUCGAGUUUAUAACUCCCAAACCCUAUGUGAACUUACCACUUGUUGCUUCGGCGCGCGCUUCGGCGCCGCCGAGGACACUUAAACUCUUUGUUUUUAUAAGCAUUUCUGAGUGGCCGAAGGGCAAAAUACAAAUGAAUCAAAACUUUCAACAACGGAUCUCUUGGUUCUGGCAUCGAUGAAGAACACAGC
rnacentral:misc_RNA from 1 species